rnacentral:lncRNA from 11 species
AGCUGAGUAAUUAGGAACUGCCCUAGCAGCUGUGAGGGGACUCAGGGCUAUAAAGCAGAAGCAGGUGCAGCCAGCUCUUGCUGGUAACAAACUGACUCUAAUGCCUAAGCCUUCGCUCCCCUUGUGCCUGCUUCGAGUCUGCAUCUGGGAAAUUGCUCCUAAGGAUUUAUUACUGAUUCUUUGCCUGAAGAAACAAUAAUAAACAUCUUUGAAGACGGCGAUUAUGGAAAUGUGUCUUCGUA